GCACUGGGGUCAGAAUCUUGGUUCAUCAGCAGGUGACAGUUCCGCAGCGCACCAGGCGAUUUUAGGAGAAAACUUGAGAGCCACAGCCGUUUAUCUGCCCGCCAGCGGGCUCAGUCUGAUUUGAAGGACGUGGUCAGCACAGCAGGGGACGAGGGAUCCACAGGCCUCCGGGACAGUCUCCAUCCAGUCACUUGCUUUCCUGAAGCAGAGUGACAGGCAAAGCAGCUUGCCUCGGGGAAUUGCUCUGCAGAGAAACCCCCGCAAGCCUCCAUCCUAAAGGCAGGCAACAGGGACGUAGGAUUUCCCACCCGCAGUGCCUCCCGCAAAUGGAGUUGAAGGAGUCCGAGUGAAUCAGGAUGACGCCCAGGAUAGCUCUUCCCUGAAGCUUUCUCAGGACAUUGCGGCACUGACCAAUUUUAAGGUGAAGCUGGAGACAGUUAGUUCUGAGUGGGAGAGGGAGACAAGACUAAAUGGAGUUCCGAAGAUGAAGAAUGUUCGCAGAAAUGUAAGAGUCCUAUCCAGUUAGUGAGCAAUGGAGCCAAGCUGAGCAGCCUUCCUCAAAUCCCUGCUCCCACUUUACCUCCACCCCCGUCACAGACAGACUUCAGGAUUGACAGUAUCCUGGAGUGGCUGCUGGAAACUUCAAAGUUAUUCUUGAGACCUACAAGCAAGGAAAUGGGGGAGAACUGAGUCAGAUCUGGGCCACCUGGAGGAUUGUACUGCAUUCAAGAGGUAUUAGUCCAUUUCUUAAUAACAUUAUAUAACUUAUGGAUGUAAAACAAAUUUAAAAGUUCUUUAAUAAAUAAUAAAAGCAGAGAAAUAUUUGUAGAUAA
rnacentral:lncRNA from 13 species